ACUGUACAGAGGCAUGCAGAUGAUAUUUCAAGGAUACAGGAUGAAAUGAAGAAGGCUAGCUGUGAGGGCAGUAUGUUUCGAGAAGAACUUUUACGGGUAUUGUGUUGAAAGAAUUGAAGGGUAAAAAUAGUGAAGGGACUAGUGGAAAUGUGGAAGGCAUUGGGGGAAGCGUUAGAGUUGCUGAGAAUAAGGGUCCUUUGCCUAAAUUCUAACCAAUAAUGAUGAUAGCGAGUCUUUGACGCCUAAAAUAGAGUUGGUUACCCUUGAGAGCAAAGAACGUAGGUCUUGGCUUAGAAAAUGUGCCAAAUACUGUGAAGUUUAGAAGGUUCCUGCAGAUCAAAGGAUAGGAAUUGCAAGUCUGUUCUUGAUGGAUAAGGCUAGUGCCUGGUUUCAUAACUGGACCAGGGGAAAAAGUCCUGGGGACGAAUUUGAGAGGGCACUCCGAUAGAUUUGAGGAUGAGGGCCUUGAAGAUGUUGCAGAAGAGUUUAUGAAAAUUAGGCA
rnacentral:misc_RNA from 1 species